GACGAACGCUGGCGGCGUGCUUAACACAUGCAAGUCGAACGGAAAGGCCCUUCGGGGUGCUCGAGUGGCGAACGGGUGAGUAACACGUGGGUGAUCUGCCCUGCACUUUGGGAUAAGCCUGGGAAACUGGGUCUAAUACCGAAUAGGACCGCGCUCUUCAUGGGGUGUGGUGGAAAGCUUUUGCGGUGUGGGAUGGGCCCGCGGCCUAUCAGCUUGUUGGUGGGGUAAUGGCCUACCAAGGCGACGACGGGUAGCCGGCCUGAGAGGGUGACCGGCCACACUGGGACUGAGAUACGGCCCAGACUCCUACGGGAGGCAGCAGUGGGGAAUAUUGCACAAUGGGCGCAAGCCUGAUGCAGCGACGCCGCGUGAGGGAUGACGGCCUUCGGGUUGUAAACCUCUUUCAGUACCGACGAAGCGCAAGUGACGGUAGGUACAGAAGAAGGACCGGCCAACUACGUGCCAGCAGCCGCCGUAAGAC
rnacentral:rRNA from 1 species